rnacentral:rRNA from 1 species
UGCCAAAAAGCUAGCCCGCCUACCAAACUAACAACCAAACAUAAAUAACCCCCAAUACCCCAAACAAAACAAAACAAACCAUUUUCCCAUCCUAGUAUGAGCGACAGAAAAGAUACUCGCGAGCAAUAGAGACAGUACCGCAAGGGAAAGCUGAAAAAGAAAUGAAACAACCCAUUCAAGCCAAAAAAAGUAGAGAUUUAAACUCGUACCUUU